CAUUUUCAACUGACGCCAUUUUCCACUGAGAAGACGCUAACUUUGACAAUAAGAAAACCCGAGAAAUCCUAAACAGGAGGCGUUAAAAGUCAAGGAACUCAUCCCGCCGAUGCGCCGAAGAGGUAAACCUAAUGAAAGGCGCCCUGAUGGUCAUGGGCCCGGACAGAAUUACCAAGUGAGUACUGUUGGAUAAAUACAUGUCCCCGUGAGCCUCCUCCAUUUUUUUUACAUGGGCCAAGCACACAAAGAAUGUGUGCGGAUAGCCCCUACACCGUUUUCCAAACCAUGUCGGAUCUGGAAUUGUAAACCUGGAGAUGCGCCGAAGCAAGGAACUCAUGUCGCCAGCAUGCGGCUGUCCUCUGGUUAGUUGCGAAAGUCGGCUGCGCAGCGACGUGGGACUAUGUAUUCUGGAACUACUUUUAACCACCUUAUACUCGAUGGAAAAUGUCUACAAAUACGAAAAAUUUGGUCGAAUGCUGUUCUGAAUCAAUUCAGCUUCUGCUCGAGCUUGCAGCAACCUACGUUCACAUAUUUUUAUUAUUUUGAUGUAUAUUUUUGGAUGCUAAGAUUAACCAUUAAGUACGUAAGUGAGCUGGGACAAACACACAUGGAAUGUGAUGGGCAUGACGAUACGAUUGUCUAGCCAUCCGAUUCUAAACCUGGAGAUGCGCAGAAGCAAGGAACUUAUGUCGCCAGCACGUGGUUGUCUUUGACGGACAGGUGGGGAUGCACACCUGCGGAGAUCUUGAAACAUGUGUUCAUCAUGUCCCUCCACUGUCUGCCUGGCACAUUGGUGCGACAAGCUGCAUCGAAAAUAGCAACAUAAAUAUUAUCGACUUCGUUUGGAAGACCACUGCUAACCAUGAAAUGCAAUGAAGCUACUUUUAUAGCAGUUCACCCAGUAGGGUUAUGCGAACGCUUGGAGCCCCACGAUCAUCGCCCACAAUUAAAGGAAGAUCUUCAAAAUUACGUCGUCGCACAUGCCUUUAGAAAUCUGUUACGGCUCAUGGUCCCCUCCAAUUAGUUUUUUCAAAAAAUCUAGUAGCUUCUUAGAUAUCAUUAUUUAAGAGGCCUAUUUCAAGAUUAGUUAAAUUAUUUUUAGUCUGUAACCUGUAGUAUUCUGUAGUGUUCAUUAAAAAGAGUGAUAGAUUG
rnacentral:sRNA from 1 species